ACCUGAAAACACAGAAUAUUAACCCCCCCCCCCCCCCCCCCCUCCUCCUCCCCCUUUCCCCACCCGCUGCCAUUUUGGGGCAGUUUGGGUGCAUUUCUUAAUGUUACUCUGUUUUUGUUAUAAGCGAAGCUCCUGGUACAAGUUGCACUUCCUGAUUUUCCAAGCUCCUCUUUUUUUGGGGGGGGCCAAAAAGCAGCUUUUUCCACACAAUCUGUUCUUCCAAAAGCUGUUUCCUAUCAAUCACUGGCAUCUGCAAAAAGGGCGGAAAACACCCCAAAACACACCGCCCCCCCCCCAACAUACAUCCCCCCCCCCCUCACAGCACAAUCCUGACCUCCAUCAAGUCAAAAAAUACACAGAAACGCCCCCAAAAUUUCAACGAUUAUAAAAAAUAAUAAUAAUCAUCAUCUUACUUCUGAGAGUCUCAGUUACCCAAAUCUGUGGCUUUUAUCCUCAAAUCUCCCUGCAGAAAAGCUCCUGGAUGCUGAGAUUUUUCCCCUUUCUCGGCUCAAAUCUUUCAAUCCUGAGGGUCCAUAGUUUUUAUUUCCUCAUCUUUUUUUUUCUCAUCAUUAUUAUCUUAAAUUGCCUUUUUUUUGUUACUUAUUAAUUGCUCCUCCACUUUUGUCUCUUGGCGCUGCCACAACCUGGGAGGGGAAACAAACUCGAACACCCCCCCCAACAAAAAAAAACAACACAAAAGAAAACAGCACUUUUCCCUUUUUCCACCAUUUUUUAUCCUCCUUUCCCCACCUGCUCCCCCCAUCCCCCCCACCCCUAUCAACAACACGACAUUUUGGGCUUAAAAUCCCAAAGAUUCGGCACUUACUCUGAGAUGCACCACUGGUACCUACAACACUUGACAGCCGGAGCGUGAUGACGUUGGAUUUGGGGUUGAAUUCAUACUUUUCCACAUUCUUUUUUUUUUUUUUUCUUCCUUAUUUUCUAUCUUCUUUAUUUUUGGCCUAUUUUCUUCCCUAUUUUCUUCUUUUUCUUCCCUAUUUUCUAUCUUCUUUUUUGCCUAUUUUCUUCUCAUUUUUUCCCUGUUUUCUUCUUUUUUUUUUUGCCUAUUUUCUUCUUUUUUUCCCUAUUUUCUUCUUAUUUUCCCUAUUUCUUCUUGUAUUUUCCUCUUUACCAUCUCCUUCCUUUUUCCUAUGCUCAUUUUUUUCUAUUUUCUUGGAUUUUCCCCUAUUUUUUAAGUUUUUUUUCCCCCCCUCCCCCCAUUUUAAACACCUCCGUCCUUUUUCUGACGCCAUUUUCCAGCGUUUUCGCUGUUGUUUUUGCUCCUUUUAUUCCCAUAUUAUUCCCCCUCCCCCGUUUUUAUCCCCACUGCAUUUUGCCAACCCCCCCCCAACAACAAAAAAGGCCCCAAAUCUUUGGGAUGGGGGUUAAAAAUCCAACCCCUUUCCUUUUUAAACAAAGGAAAACACCCCAAAAUUGACCUUUUUUUUCCCCCACUCAUUUCACUCGGUGAGUUGGAAAACGCUGAAAACUCUUUAUUUUCCCCCAUUUAAUUCCCUCUUUUCCCAGCAGUUUCCCAUCCCCGUUCUUACCCCACCAUCCCAUCCGCCCCUUCUCACUCAAUUUGGCCCAAAAAGCACCAAAAUAUCCCUAUUUCAGCCCAUUCUGCAGCAGUGCUGAGUCACGCUGCAGCCACGCUCGGCCCUUUAAAUGGGAAACCGAACCCCAUUUUAAUGCAUUUUAGGGGCAUUUCCGCUCCAGGUAACAACACCCUAAGAUUAAAGACACCCCAAAAACACACCAGACCUCUCAUUAGUCCUCAAUUAACGUUAAUUAAUGCUCUGACGACACGGGCGGCACCGGGGACCUUUUCCAUAUCGGAUUUCAAGGCGUUUCCUGUAAAACCAGAGAGAAAAACGCUGUUGUUAAUCGGUUUCUAUUGUUCUGAUGGAGCAUUUUGUGAUUAAAAACCCCAUUUCUUCCCCAUUUUUAUUGGUCCUUCCAUCACCCCAAAGCCCCAGAGUGGGAUCAGCCCCAUGGGUGCAAUGUGAUUUGCACAUUCCUGCUCAUACACACCCUAAAAACCCCAAUUAAAAAGCAAAAAUAGCCUAUUAUCCCAUAUUUAACAUUACUAUUAAAGUCUCGUUGGGACAACUCAUGUUUUUUAGCACAAAAACAGCCCCAAAAAGACACGUUUUUACUUCAGAAAUGACCCCCUGGGAGUCACCUGAAGGGCCUUUUACACUCAGAAAGACUCUGAAGAAAAAAAACAUCGUAUUUUCAUACAAAAACAUCAUUUGUUUUACUAUUAAACGUCAUUUUUGCUUCACUGAACCAAAGGGCUGAGAAUUCCCUGAAAUUUGAGGAGUUUUUUGGCUCUUUUUUGGGGUUAUUUCGAUGGUUUUUGGGUCUUUGAUUCAUCACCCUCCCC
rnacentral:lncRNA from 1 species